GUUCUCGUAGUUGAAGGACAACGGU
rnacentral:tRNA from 1 species